GUUUCUGUACAAUUAACUUUCGUUCUUCUGAUGUAAUCCAUGUGGAAACUGAGACGUGAAUUGAAGAAGC
rnacentral:snoRNA from 1 species